AAGAGACAGCAGUAGCCGCGGUAAUACAGAGGGUGCGAGCGUUAAUCGGAUUUACUGGGCGUAAAGCGUGCGUAGGCGGCUUCUUAAGUCGGAUGUGAAAUCCCUGAGCUUAACUUAGGAAUUGCAUUCGAUACUGGGAAGCUAGAGUAUGGGAGAGGAUGGUAGAAUUCCAGGUGUAGCGGUGAAAUGCGUAGAGAUCUGGAGGAAUACCGAUGGCGAAGGCAGCCAUCUGGCCUAAUACUGACGCUGAGGUACGAAAGCAUGGGGAGCAAACAGGAUUAGAUACCCCAGUAGUCCCUGUCUCUUAUAC
rnacentral:rRNA from 1 species